rnacentral:rRNA from 1 species
UACGUAGGGUGCGAGCGUUGUCCGGAAUUAUUGGGCGUAAAGAGCUUGUAGGCGGUUUGUCGCGUCUGCCGUGAAAUUUCGAGGCUCAACCUCGAACUUGCGGUGGGUACGGGCAGACUAGAGUGUGGUAGGGGAGACUGGAAUUCCUGGUGUAGCGGUGAAAUACGCAGAUAUCAGGAGGAACACCGAUGGCGAAGGCAGGUCUCUGGGCCACUACUGACGCUGAGAAGCGAAAGCAUGGGGAGCGAACAGG